rnacentral:lncRNA from 1 species
CAAGGCAGUGGCAGUGGUGCAGGUGAGGAAGCAGACAUGCAAUUCUUCUAGUCUUGGAGCUGGCACACCAUCACUUUCAUUUCUUCUUAAUGGCCAAAGCCAGAGUCAAAUGGAGUCUAGAAGCUGACCCAGAAACUAGAAUCUUUCCUUGUGAGAAUGUUGAGGGCCAGGUGCGGUGGCUCAAGCCUGUAAUCCAAGAACUUUUGGAGGCUGAGGUGGGCAGAUCACUUGAGCCCAGGGGUUCGAGACCAGCCUGGGCAACAAAGACCCUGUCUCUAUUUAAAAAAA